rnacentral:tRNA from 1 species
GGACGUUUGUGGGCAGUUUGUGUGUAAAGCCCAAAAACGAAGCCCGAAAGCAUUGAAAAACGGACAUUCAGAGCCACGUUGACAUCGUGGGGGUCACUGGUUCGAGUCCAGUUACGUCCA